rnacentral:rRNA from 1 species
CUACGGGAGGCAGCAGUGGGGAAUAUUGCGCAAUGGGCGGAAGCCUGACGCAGCGACGCCGCGUGGGGGAUGACGGCCUUCGGGUUGUAAACCUCUUUCGGCCCCGACGAAGCGUGAGUGACGGUAGGGGUGGAAGAAGCACCGGCCAACUACGUGCCAGCAGCCGCGGUAACACGUAGGGUGCGAGCGUUGUCCGGAAUUAUUGGGCGUAAAGAGCUCGUAGGCGGUGUGUCGCGUCGGCCGUGAAAACCUGUAGCUUAACUGUGGGCUUGCGGUCGAUACGGGCAUCACUGGAGUUCGGCAGGGGAGACUGGAAUUCCUGGUGUAGCGGUGAAAUGCGCAGAUAUCAGGAGGAACACCGGUGGCGAAGGCGGGUCUCUGGGCCGAUACUGACGCUGAGGAGCGAAAGCGUGGGGAGCGAACAGGAUUAGAUACCCCGGUAGA